AAUAUUGCGCAAUGGAGGGAACUCUGACGCAGCGCCGCCGCGUAAGCGAUGAAUGUCUUCGGAUCGUCCAGCUCUGUCCUUGGGGAAGAAGGUCUUCGGACUUGACGGUACCUAAGGAGGAAGCCCCGGCUACCUACGUGCCACCAGCCGCGGUAAUACGUAGGGGGCAAGGGUUGUCCGGAAUUCUUGGGUGUAAAGGGUGCGUAGGCGGCCUUUUAAGUCAGAUGUGAAAGCCCACGGCUUAACCGUGGGACUGCAUUUGAAACUGGAGGGCUUGAGUAUCGGAGAGGGUAGUGGAAUUCCCAGUGUAGCGGUGGAAUGCGUAGAUAUUGGGAGGAACACCAGUGGCGAAGGCGACUACCUGGACGAAAACUGACGCUGAGGCACGAAAGCUAGGGGAGCAAACA
rnacentral:rRNA from 1 species